rnacentral:rRNA from 1 species
AGACCACCACGUUGAUAGGCCGGAUGUGUAAGCACGGUAACGUGUUCAGCAGACCGGUACUAAUCGGCCGAGGGCUUGGGCUC